GAAAUGCGAUAAGUAAUGUGAAUUGCAGAAUUCAGUGAAUCAUCGAAUCUUUGAACGCACAUUGCGCCCGCCAGUAUUCUGGCGGGCAUGCCUGUCCGAGCGUCAUUUCAACCAUCAAGCCCCCGGGCUUGUGUUGGGGACCUGCGGCUGCCCGCAGGCCCUGAAAACCAGUGGCGGGCUCGCUGUCACAACGAGCGUAGUAGCAAUCACCUCGCUCAGGGCGUGCUGCGGGUUCCGGCCGUUAAACAGCCUUACAAAACCCAAGGUUGACCUCGGAUCAGGUAGGAAGACCCGCUGAACUUAAGC
rnacentral:misc_RNA from 1 species